AGUGAACGCUGGCGGCAGGCCCAACACAUGCAAGUCGAGCGGCAGCGCGGGGGCAACCCUGGCGGCGAGCGGCGGACGGGUGAGGAAUUCGUCGGAAUCUGCCUUUUUGUGGGGGAUAACGUAGGGAAACUUACGCUAAUACCGCAUACGUCCUACGGGAGAAAGUGGGGGACCGCAAGGCCUCACGCAGAAAGAUGAGCCGACGACCGAUUAGCUAGUUGGUGGGGUAAAGGCCCACCAAGGCGACGAUCGGUAGCUGGUCUGAGAGGAUGAUCAGCCACACUGGGACUGAGACACGGCCCAGACUCCUACGGGAGGCAGCAGUGGGGAAUAUUGGACAAUGGGCGCAAGCCUGAUCCAGCCAUGCCGCGUGUGUGAAGAAGGCCUUCGGGUUGUAAAGCACUUUUGUCCGGAAAGAAAUCCCUGGAGCUAAUACCUUCGGGGGAUGACGGUACCGGAAGAAUAAGCACCGGCUAACUUCGUG
rnacentral:rRNA from 1 species